GCAGUGAGUACAGUUCAUACAGCCAGUCUGUGACGCAUGAAGAGUCAAAUAGCUUACCUGUUCAGAAAGUCUGCGCUGCUCGUAAAAAUCCGCUGAACUCGGCUGGCGGUUACUCACAGGCUCGCAAAGAUAAUCGUUCUUCUGUUUUGUGAUACGCCAGUCUGCUGCCCUUUCCAUCCUGGAAUUGCCCAUUCCUGAAUGAAUCAUCAUCAGCACAGAGAAACACUCCUCAACUGUCGCAAGGUGGAAUGAGAAAUCCAAUUGCAUUAUAUAAAAAUGCACAUUUUUAUUUGAGUCAUGCCUGCCUUGCUGCUUUGCCAAUAUGCCAUUCAGGACCUAAUUCACACAGCCACCCAGAGGAAAGAAAUAUUCUGAAUGAGAUCUCUUUAGUUCACGUAGACACUUCUCUCAGGUUUCUGAAAUGUGUCUACUGAGAAUUAACCCUCAGAUUUUCAUACUUUGAUCAAAAUAUUGCAAAUAUUGAUUUACUCUUACGUGACUCAUCCAACCCAAGUCUUAGCUGAAUGAUAUUUCCAUAAGAAAAGUGUACGAUCUCAUAAUUUCUUUAUAGAUCUAUUCUGUAUCACACAGAGAACUCAUGCUUUUCUCAUUCAUCAUCAGAACUUCUUACAUUGAAAUGCUGAUGUUAAUGCUGUUUUCUGCUAAGGGGGGUUUAGUAGAAAGAAUUCAGAAAUCAGUGAUCAUUAGUACAAUAUCGAGGUCUGCUUCUUCAAGAAAAUCUUAAGAAAGAUGUUUUUCUCUGGGCCCCAGUUUUUGAUAAGGAAAUUCAGAAAUAAAACAGUCCAGUAAAUCAAAGCCAGUAAAGCCCAGCCCAUGUAUUUGAAGUAUUAAAGAUAGUUCAAAUUUACCCAGCCAACAUGCCCCUGGCUCACUAUGGGCUGACUCUGGAUAACCUUGACCUUGGCAAGUCCACACAAAACCUACAUGGGGCCCUUCAUGCGUACCGCACACUGGGCUGCGCCACCAUUCCACAAUGUGGCCCGCUGAGCUGACUUAGCUGACAAACCCCUACAGAAAUCCCUCAGUGAUUUAGAGCUGCACAAGGCCAACAGUGAGUGGCCAGUCGUUUGCCAAUGAAGAAAAUGUCAUGGGCCCUGGGCAGGCAGCUCACUGUGAGCCAUUAGUCAAGUCCUAAGUGGGCUUGUUGGGAAACUUUUAAGUGACAUAUCCACCCCAUGAUGAAUCUGAAACUUUACUCUUCUUCUUUUCAAGCUAUUGCGAAAGUUUUUAGACAAACCUGACGAGUCCGCCCAUAUUUAAGUAAUGAGAAAAUGACCAACAGGUUUGGUGGUUAUAUGAGUUCCAUAUGUAGAAAUGAAAAUGUUAGUUCUGUCUACAACAUUGUGUAAGUUCUCUGUGACAACCUUUACGCUACUUUUGCUUUUGUGGUGAAGUUAUUGCUGUUGCAACAACAUUAGUCAUGUUUCCUGACACAGAGCAGAUAUGAUGUGUCUUAGUGACUUGCAGUUAUUUAACAGAUUAUUGCUCUCAUGUCUUGGUUCAGAAGGUGUCCUGAUACUGAGUAGAUAUACUGUAAAUUUAAGUGCAAUACCAAAGAUGGGACACUAGAUGGGGCUUUAUCAUUGCAUAACAUAGAAAUGUUUGUCCUAGCAUCCCUGACUUGUUCUGCCAGUCUUUAAUGUCUCCUCAAAACUCAUGUCUUGAAAUAUGAAAGUAUGAAAUGUUUCUGUCUAUCAGAUCACAUUUUAAGGCUAUAUCAGGAAAGCGCAGGCUGACAUACUGCUGGUGUGACUGCUUGUUAUGAAAAAAGAAGUGUGCCAAUAAAAUCAGUGUUGUCAG